rnacentral:pre_miRNA from 1 species
UAUUUAAGCUGAAUGCAUUGUGAUUUCCAAUAAUUGAGACAGUGAUUCUGAAAGCUGUCUACAUUAAUGAAAAGAACAAUGUAGUCAGCUUAACU